rnacentral:rRNA from 1 species
AGAGUUUGAUCCUGGCUCAGAACGAACGUUGGCGGCGUGGAUUAGGCAUGCAAGUCGAGCGGGAUCCUGAUUUUUCAAUUCUUCGGAAAAGAAGUUUCAGGUGAGAGCGGCGAACGGGUUAGUAAUAUAUGGGUAAUUUGCCUCUUUGUUCGGAAUAAUCGCUGGAAACGGUGACUAAUGCCGGAUGUGUUCGGGUGCUGCAUAGCACCUUAUAUAAAGGCGGGGAUUCUUCGGAACCUGUCGCAGAGAGAUAAGCCCAUAUCCUAUCAGCUAGUUGGUGAGGUAACGGCUCACCAAGGCUUACGGGUAGUUGGUCUGAGAGGAUGAUCAGCAACACUGGGACUGAGACACUGCCCAGACUCCUACGGGAGGCUGCAGUCGAGAAUCAUUGACAAUGCACGAAAGUGUGAUCAUGCGACGCCGCGUGGAGGAAGACGGCCUUUGGGUUGUAAACUCCUGUCAGCAGGGAGGAAGGAUGGAUCUCUUAAUACGAGGUUCAUUUGACAGUACCUGCAGAGGAAGUCACGGCUAACUCUGUGCCAGCAGCCGCGGUAAUACAGAGGUGGCGAACGUUGUUCGGAUUUACUGGGCGUAAAGGGUCCGCAGGCGGCUCGGUGUGUCAGAUGUGAAAGCCCACGGCUCAACCGUGGAAUUGCAUUUGAAACUGCCGGGCUAGAGUACUGGAGGGGAGAAGGGAACACUUGGUGUAGCGGUGAAAUGCGUAGAUAUCAAGUGGAACACCGGUGGCGAAGGCGCUUCUCUGGACAGAUACUGACGCUCAUGGACGAAAGUUAGGGUAGCGAAAGGGAUUAGAUACCCCUGUAGUCCUAACCGUAAACGGUGUGCACUAGACGUGGGAGGCUUUACCCCCUUCCGUGUCGGAGCUAACGCAUUAAGUGCACCGCCUGGGGAGUACGGUCGCAAUAUUAAAACUCAAAGGAAUUGACGGGGACCCGCACAAGCGGUGGAGCAUGUGGCUUAAUUCGAUGCAACGCGAAGAACCUUACCUGGGCUUGACAUAUAGCUGCAUACGACCCGAAAGGGACGUAGCCUUCGAGGGUGCUAUACAGGUGCUGCAUGGCUGUCGUCAGCUCGUGCCGUGAGGUGUUGGGUUAAGUCCCGCAACGAGCGCAACCCCUGUGUUUAGGGCUAAGUCGUAACAAGGUAGCCGUACCGGGAGGUGUGGCUGGAACACCUCCU